rnacentral:rRNA from 1 species
CCUACGGGUGGCAGCAGUGAGGAAUAUUGGUCAAUGGACGAGAGUCUGAACCAGCCAAGUAGCGUGAAGGAUGACUGCCCUAUGGGUUGUAAACUUCUUUUAUAUGGGAAUAAAACGUUCCACGUGUGGGAUUUUGUAUGUACCAUAUGAAUAAGGAUCGACUAACUCCGUGCCAGCAGCCGCGGUAAUACGGAGGAUCCGAGCGUUAUCCGGAUUUAUUGGGUUUAAAGGGAGCGUAGGGGGAUUGUUAAGUCAGUUGUGAAAGUUUGCGGCUCAACCGUAAAAUUGCAGUUGAAACUGGCAGUCUUGAGUACAGUAGAGGUGGGCGGAAUUCGUGGUGUAGCGGUGAAAUGCUUAGAUAUCACGAAGAACUCCGAUUGCGAAGGCAGUUCACUGGACUGCAACUGACACUGAGGCUCGAAAGUGUGGGUAUCAAACAGGAUUAGAUACCCGUGUAGUC